GGGAGUCCCAGUGUAGUUUUCACACCAUGACCGGGUGGUUUCUAGUUACGCCUCUGGUUGCGGUGUAUCAUCUGAUGCACAAAUACAGAGGCAGGGUCAAACACUCAGCCCAGGCAUUGUAAGGCAGAUCAGCCCAUAAGGAGGAGGCAUGUUGUGUCAUCAUUGACUUGCGCACAUCCCACUCUUGCACACAAAGAGUUUGAUGCCUCUCCAGGGCACCCUAUGCACAGGCCCUGCUGAAGAGUUCUCGCAUGGGGCCCAGGGACGGCCUUCCAAACAACACUCACCAUAAUAGCAGCCCUUGUUACAGCCAAAGCAGCUCAUCCCUAAUACCAUGCCAAUCUGCUCUGGAAACAGAGCUACUCACAGACCGCACUCAGUGAGCAGCAUUAGCUGAGGUUCCUGCACAGAAUCUAUCAAUAUGCUAGUCACAUUCACUUUUUGCAGUUGGGUCCCAGAAUGGGUGACCACCUGCCCUAGGGUAAUCAUUCCUCCCCCCCAUAUCAGCUAGUGUCGCAAGUUCCUUACAUGGAGUGUUUAAGAAACAUUCAUAUGAAAGUUUCAAAAGUGGCAUAUUCUCUAAUGUCCUGGCUGUUCUUUCACUCUAGACACAGACUAGUAUUGUAUUAGGGUCAUACAUCCCUGUGUGCCAUCAUGUGGCUAUGGUAUUUUUGCCCAUAGGCAGAGUAAGGUUGCCCAAAGCUCAAGGUAGGGUGCCAGAUUUGUAUCCUCUCCUAGAGCUCUGGGUUAUCUUUCUGUGAGAUGUGUCUUGUGAAGGCCCUGGUGUUUUAUGGGACCCCUCUAGAGUGGCCAAAAGGUAGAUCCCAUCUGUGGCUACUCACUGUUAAAAAAAAAAAAAAAAAGUGUCCCCCCUCCCGAGCCCCCACCCGUGCCGCGCGAGUGGGAGCUUUUAAACUGAAGGGGGCGGGUGGGGGCUCUAAUUCAGAUAAAAAGGGGGGGACCUAUUGUCCUCCCCCCGGCCCCACUCCUGAG